UACGGGGGGAGCAAGCGUUGUUCGGAUUUACUGGGCGUAAAGGGCGCGUAGGCGGCGCAACAAGUCACUUGUGAAAUCUCCGGGCUUAACCCGGAGCGGCCAAGUGAUACUGUCGUGCUAGAGUGCGGAAGGGGCUACUGGAAUUCUCGGUGUAGCGGUGAAAUGCGUAGAUAUCGAGAGGAACACCGGCGGCGCAGGCGGGUAGCUGGGCCGACACUGACGCUGAGGCGCGAAAGCCAGGGGAGCGAACGGG
rnacentral:rRNA from 1 species